UUAAAUUUAUUGCACGUUUGUUGUUUUUUGAAGUGAAGGUGAAAAUGAAUCUAUAUACUGAAAAACAAAAACCGUCUUGCUUAAAAGUCUACUGACCCUCAUCGGUCAUCCUUUGGUUUCAUUUUUUCAUACGUUAACACUAAAUCUCAGCUACAACUAUGUACAAAGAUUCGAAGAAAAUUGGGAACACACAUCGGAUGGUUAUAACAUGAUAUUUUCAGUCGCUCAAGCCCAAGGCUCGGUUUAUCAAAUUUCUGGCACAGUUCACCUUUAGAGAGAAAGAAUGGGAAGAGUUGAAAUACAGGAACCUAUCAUUGCUAGUGGGCUUUCUGUACUAAUUGGUCGUUAAUCUGUAAUCAUUUCUUUCGAUGACCAAAUCCGAGUAUGGAAGUUUACCAUUGUUCUCCUCCUCCACUGUAAACUUCAUUUUCGAUUCAUUUUCACCUUCGCUUCAAAAAAACAACAAACAUGUGCAAUAAAUUUA